rnacentral:rRNA from 1 species
CUGAGUGUCCAGGCUGGUUUGAAUUCACCUGAUUUGGUCCCUUCUUAGACAGUAACCCAUGCCAGACUGGCUAGCACUUAGAUGAGCGACCACUUUGGAAGCCCAGGUGUUCCUGAUA